GGCUGUUCUUGCAUUGCUAUAAAGAAAUACCUGAGCUUAGGUAAUUUAUAAAGACAAGAGGUUUAGUUGGCUCAUGGUUCUGCAGGCUUUACAGGAAGCAUGGCGUUGGCAUCUGCUUGGCUUCUGGGGAAGCUUACAAUUAUGGCAGAAGUUCUAAUUGCUAAAUUUCAGAAAAUACCAAAGGGAAAUACAGAAAGAACCAUGGCAGUAAAUUAGUGGUCAAGGACCAGACAAAUGGAAAAAACAAUUCAAAUUCUCCAACCCAGAAGAAACACAGAGGCAGAGAAAAGCUGAAGAGAUCAGGCAGGGUUUGCAUGAUAAUUAGAAUGAUUUUUCAAAUCUGAAACUUAAGAGCCAUGAAACAACACUGAAGAUUAAAAGGGGCUGUAUGAAGACAAUUUCUUCGUUUUUUUGACAAUUUAUUUUAAUCACCAUUUUAAGGAAAUGUAUGGAACAUCUUAUUCAUGAGUUCCCCAUCUAUGAAACGGUGAUUGUGAGGAUGAAAUGAGUAAAGGGCUUAGAACAGUGCUUGCCAAAUGGUAAGUGCUUAAAAAACUUCGGCCAUACCUCCACGUGUAGAAAAAAGUUAACACAGCAGACCUGACUGCGAUUCUGCUUACAAGCCUGGCCCUUGACUGGCAUCUGGGAACCUGGAUUUCAGGAAGGUUCCUACCACCAUUAACUGAUCAACUCCCCACCGCAAAAAACUAAAGAUGCUGGAUAAGACACUAAAACAAAACCACCUUAAAAGGACUGAAAAAUUAAAAAGAGCGGCCAGGCCAAAUUCUUGAGGCUAGCUUGAACCCAAAGAGGUUAGUGGAAAGAAAGUCGGCAUCCCAAAGCCACCUUUGCCCUGAAGGCAUUCACUCACAUCGUGCACUGGGGCUGCGGUCUGGUAGCCUCAUGGGGGGAUGAGGCUAGAAGUGAAGAUCCAGGAUUUUGCCAAUUUGGAUCAUCUCACAGGAUAACUUUCCCACAUUAAGCUGAAAU